AACGAGGCCGACCUGCGGCUGAGUUACCUGCGGAGGGAUCAUUAUAGAGUUCUAAACUCCAAACCUUUGUGAACAUAUACGUGUUGCUUCGGCGGGUUGGGGGGCCCAGCGCCCACCGUCGCCCGCCGGGGACCCAAACUCUUGCCUUCUAGCGGAAUCUUCUGAGCGAAAGCAAAAUACAUCAAAACUUUCAACAAUGGAUCU
rnacentral:misc_RNA from 1 species